AUUGAACGCUGGCGGCAGGCCUAACACAUGCAAGUCGAGCGAGCGGCGGACGGGUGAGUAAUGUAUGGGGAUCUGCCUGAUGGAGGGGGAUCAAUACUGGAAACGGUAGCUAAUACCGCAUACCAUCAGAUGAACCCAUAUGGGAUUAGCUGGUAGGUGAGGUAACGGCUCACCUAGGCGACGAUCCCUAGCUGGUCUGAGAGGAUGAUCAGCCACACGGGGACGGGGAGACGGCCCAGACUCGUACGGGAGGCAGGAGUGGGGAAUAUUGGACAAUGGGCGCAAGCCUGAUGCAGCCAUGCGGCGAUUAUGAAGAAUGCCUUCGGGUUGUAAAGUACUUUCAGUCGGGAAGCGUUACCGACAGAAGAAGCACCGGCUAACUCCGUGCCAGCAGCCGCGGUAAUUC
rnacentral:rRNA from 1 species